GUGUUGUGGAUGUACGUGGUGUAUAUUGUUGCGCGUUAAAGCGUGGCCUAUACGGCCCGUAAACUCGUUGUGUGAUUGUUUUGACCUUUGGCAUGGCUUGAACAGCCCAGUAAGUCAGUAUGUGCGCCUGUUGUCGCGUUCGUUAAGUAUAACGCACAAGAGUAAAGGAGUAUGUUAAAACGUAGGCGACCAACAUUCAAAUGCUUAUAUAAUAUACGACUUUCAUUUGUGUAUGGUGAAAAGUAUAUGGCUAAAUUGGACU